CCUACGGGGGGCACCAGUGGGGAAUAUUGGACAAUGGGCGCAAGCCUGAUCCAGCAAUACCGCGUGUGUGAAGAAGGCCUGAGGGUUGUAAAGCACUUUCAAUGGGAAGGAAUACCUAUCGGUUAAUACCCGGUAGACUGACAUUACCCAUACAAGAAGCACCGGCUAACUCCGUGCCAGCAGCCGCGGUAAUACGGAGGGUGCAAGCGUUAAUCGGAAUUACUGGGCGUAAAGCGUGCGUAGGCGGUGAUUUAAGUCAGAUGUGAAAGCCCUGGGCUUAACCUGGGAACUGCAUUUGAUACUGGGUCACUAGAGUUGAGUAGAGGAGAGUGGAAUUUCAGGUGUAGCGGUGAAAUGCGUAGAGAUCUGAAGGAACACCCGUGGCGAAGGCGGCUCUCUGGACUCGAACUGACGCUGAGGUACGAAAGCGUGGGUAGCAAACAGGAUUAGAUACCCCAGUAGUCC
rnacentral:rRNA from 1 species